UACGUAGGGUGCGAGCGUUAAUCGGAAUUACUGGGCGUAGAGCGUGCGCAGGCGGCUUUGCAAGACAGAUGUGAAAUCCCCGGGCUUAACCUGGGAACUGCAUUUGUGACUGCAUGGCUGGAGUGCGGCAGAGGGGGAUGGAAUUCCGCGUGUAGCAGUGAAAUGCGUAGAUAUGCGGAGGAACACCGAUGGCGAAGGCAAUCCCCUGGGCCUGCACUGACGCUCAUGCACGAAAGCGUGGGGAGCAAACAGG
rnacentral:rRNA from 1 species